GAUGAAGAACGUAGCGAAAUGCGAUACUUGGUGUGAAUUGCAGAAUCCCGUGAACCAUCGGGUCUUUGAACGCAAGUUGCGCCCGAAGCCACUAGGCCGAGGGCACGCCUGCCUGGGCGUCACACGCCGUUGCCCCCCCAUCUACUCCUUCGGGAUUGCGGGGGGGCGGAUGAUGGCCUCCUGUGCGCCUAGCCGCGCGGUUGGCAUAAAUACCAAGUCCUCGGCGACGCACGCCACGACAAGCGGUGGUUGCGAAACCUCGGUUGCCCGUCGUGUGCGUUCGUCGCGCAUCGAGGGCUCGAAAAAAUGCUCGGCUCCGGCUGGGCUUUCAACGCGACCCCAGGUCAGGCGGGGUUACCCGCUGAAUUUAAGCAUAUCAAUAAGCGGAGGA
rnacentral:misc_RNA from 1 species